rnacentral:rRNA from 1 species
CCUACGGGUGGCAGCCGUGAGGACUAUUGGUCAAUGGACGAGAGUCUGAACCAGCCAAGUAGCGUGAAGGAUGACUGCCCUAUGGGUUGUAAACUUCUUUUAUAUGGGAAUAAAAUGUUCCACGUGUGGGAUUUUGUAUGUACCAUAUGAAUAAGGAUCGGCUAACUCCGUGCCAGCAGCCGCGGUAAUACGGAGGAUCCGAGCGUUAUCCGGAUUUAUUGGGUUUAAAGGGAGCGUAGGUGGAUUGUUAAGUCAGUUGUGAAAGUUUGCGGCUCAACCGUAAAAUUGCAGUUGAAACUGGCAGUCUUGAGUACAGUAGAGGUGGGCGGAAUUCGUGGUGUAGCGGUGAAAUGCUUAGAUAUCACGAAGAACUCCGAUUGCGAAGGCAGUUCACUGGACUGCAACUGACACUGAGGCUCGAAAGUGUGGGUAUCAAACAGGAUUAGAUACCCCAGUAGUC